GACGAACGCUGGCGGCGUGCUUAACACAUGCAAGUCGAACGGAAAGGCCCUGCUUUUGUGGGGUGCUCGAGUGGCGAACGGGUGAGUAACACGUGAGUAACCUGCCCUUGACUUUGGGAUAACUUCAGGAAACUGGUGCUAAUACCGGAUAGGAUCUCCUGCUGCAUGGUGGGGGUUGGUAAGUUUCGGCGGUUGGGGAUGGACUCGCGGCUUAUCAGCUUGUUGGUGGGGUAGUGGCUUACCAAGGCUUUGACGGGUAGCCGGCAUGAGAGGGUGACCGGCGACAAUGGGACUGAGAGAAGGACCAGACUAGUACGGGAGGAAGCAGUGGGGAAUAUUGCACAAUGGGCGGAAGCAUGAGGAAGAAACGCAGCGUGCGGGAUGAAGGCAUUCGGGUUGUAAACAGAUGUAGAAUGUGAAGAAGAGAGAGUGACGGUAAUGGGUAAAGAAGCACCGGCUAACUACGCG
rnacentral:rRNA from 1 species